rnacentral:rRNA from 1 species
UACGUAGGGUGCGAGCGUUGUCCGGAAUUAUUUGGGCGUAAAGAGCUUGUAGGCGGUUUGUCGCGUCUGCUGUGAAAAACCUAAGGCUCAACCUUGGGCUUGCAGUGGGUACGGGCAGACUAGAGUGCGGUAGGGGUGACUGGAAUUCCUGGUGUAGCGGUGGAAUGCGCAGAUAUCAGGAGGAACACCGAUGGCGAAGGCAGGUCUCUGGGCAGUAACUGACGGCUGAGGAGCGAAAAGCCAGGGGAGCGAACGGG